GACGAACCGUGCGAACGUUAUUCGGAAUCACUGGGCUUAAAGCGUGCGUAGGCGGUUUGUUAAGUCCGUUGUGAAAGCCCUGGGCUCAACCUGGGAAUUGCAGUGGAUACUGGCGAGCUAGAGUGCGGUAGAGGAUGGUGGAAUUCCCGGUGUAGCGGUGAAAUGCGUAGAGAUCGGGAGGAACACCCGUGGCGAAGGCGGCCAUCUGGACCAGCACUGACGCUGAGGCACGAAAGCGUGGGGAGCAAACAGGG
rnacentral:rRNA from 1 species